AAAACUUUAAGUUAAAUUAAACUAAUAACCUUCAAAGUUAUAAUUAUAAAACAAUUUAUAAGUUUUA
rnacentral:tRNA from 1 species